UCACCUCUGGAGAGCUAAUCAUGUGACAGAGGAUUUGACCAUCAGGUCAGUCAGAGCCGACAUGUAGCUCAGCCAAACUGGAGAAUUAAUGUUGCUUAAAGGAGAGAAACAAACAAUUGUACUUGGAGUUCUCUCCCCUAGGUCGUCACCCCCCCCAACCCCCUCCUCCUCAGGCUCUGAUCAUC